rnacentral:rRNA from 1 species
UACGGGGGGAGCAAGCGUUGUUCGGAUUUACUGGGCGUAAAGGGCGCGUAGGCGGCCAGUGCAAGUCAGUUGUGAAAUCUCCGAGCUUAACUCGGAAAGGUCAUCUGAUACUGCUCGGCUAGAGUGCGGAAGGGGCAACUGGAAUUCUUGGUGUAGCGGUGAAAUGCGUAGAUAUCAAGAGGAACACCUGCGGCGAAGGCGGGUUGCUGGGCCGACACUGACGCUGAUGCGCGAAAGCUAGGGGAGCGAACGGG